rnacentral:rRNA from 1 species
AUUGAACGCUGGCGGCAUGCCUUACACAUGCAAGUCGAACGGUAACAGGUCUUCGGAUGCUGACGAGUGGCGAACGGGUGAGUAAUACAUCGGAACGUGCCUAGUAGUGGGGGAUAACUACUCGAAAGAGUGGCUAAUACCGCAUGAGAUCUACGGAUGAGAGCAGGGGAUCGCAAGACCUUGUGCUACUAGAGCGGCCGAUGGCAGAUUAGGUAGUUGGUGGGAUAAAAGCUUACCAAGCCGACGAUCUGUAGCUGGUCUGAGAGGACGAUCAGCCACACUGGGACUGAGACACGGCCCAGACUCCUACGGGAGGCAGCAGUGGGGAAUUUUGGACAAUAGGCGCAAGCCUGAUCCAGCAAUGCCGCGGGCAGGAUGAAGGCCUUCGGGUUGUAAACUGCUUUUGUACGGAACGAAAAGACCUGGGUUAAUACCCUGGGGUCAUGACGGUACCGUAAGAAUAAGCACCGGCUAACUACGUGCCAGCCGCCGCCGUAA